AGGUGCGAUCAUAUCAGCACUAAUGUACCGGUUCCCAUCAGAACACCGAAGUUAAGCGUGCUUGUGCGAGAAUAGUACUAGGAUGGGUGACCCCCCGGGAAGUCCUCGUGUUGCGUUCA